rnacentral:rRNA from 1 species
CCUACGGGUGGCUGCAGUGGGGGAUAUUGCACAAUGGGGGAAACCCUGAUGCAGCGACGCCGCGUGGGCGAAGACGUAUUUCGGUAUGUAAAGCCCUAUCAGCAGGGAAGAAGAAAUGACGGUACCUGAGUAAGAAGCACCGGCUAAAUACGUGCCAGCAGCCGCGGUCAUACGUAUGGUGCAAGCGUUAUCCGGAUUUACUGGGUGUAAGGGGAGCGUAGGCGGCACGGCAAGCCUGAUGUGGAAGCCCGCGGCCCAACCGCGGUACUGAAAUGGGUACUAGCAGCCUGGAGGACCGGUGAGGUAGGCGGGAUUCGUGGUGUAGCGGUGAAAUGCUUAGAUAUCAGGAAGAACUCCGAUUGCGAAGGCGGACUACUAAACGGCCACUGACAGUGAUGCUCGAGAGUGUGGGGAUCAGACAGGAGGAGAUACCCCAGUAGUC